rnacentral:rRNA from 1 species
UACGUAGGGUGCAAGCGUUGUCCGGAAUUAUUGGGCGUAAAGAGCUCGUAGGCGGUCUGUCGCGUCUGCUGUGAAAACUUCAGGCUCAACCUGGGGCUUGCAGUGGGUACGGGCAGACUAGAGUGCGGUAGGGGUGACUGGAAUUCCUGGUGUAGCGGUGGAAUGCGCAGAUAUCAGGAGGAACACCGAUGGCGAAGGCAGGUCACUGGGCCGCAACUGACGCUGAGGAGCGAAAGCAUGGGGAG